GCGAAGCUCCUGAUCGAAGCCCCAGUAAACGGCGGCCGUAACUAUAACGGUCCUAAGGUAGCGAAAUUCCUUGUCGGGUAAGUUCCGACCUGCACGAAUGGCGUAAUGAUGGCCAGGCUGUCUCCACCCGAGACUCAGUGAAAUUGAACUCGCUGUGAAGAUGCAGUGUACCCGCGGCAAGACGGAAAGACCCCGUGAACCUUUACUAUAGCUUGACACUGAACAUUGAGCCUUGAUGUGUAGGAUAGGUGGGAGGCUUUGAAGUGUGGACGCCAGUCUGCAUGGAGCCAACCUUGAAAUACCACCCUUUAACGUUUGAUGUUCUAACCUAGGCCCAUAAACUGGGUCGGGGACCGUGUCUGGUGGGUAGUUUGACUGGGGCGGUCUCCUCCUAAAGAGUAACGGAGGAGCACGAAGGUUGGCUAAGCAUGGUCGGACAUCAUGCGGUUAGUGCAAAGGCAUAAGCCAGCUUGACUGCGAGAGUGACGGCUCGAGCAGGUACGAAAGUAGGUCUUAGUGAUCCGGUGGUUCUGAAUGGAAGGGCCAUCGCUCAACGGAUAAAAGGUACUCCGGGGAUAACAGGCUGAUACCGCCCAAGAGUUCAUAUCGACGGCGGUGUUUGGCACCUCGAUGUCGGCUCAUCACAUCCUGGGGCUGAAGUAGGUCCCAAGGGUAUGGCUGUUCGCCAUUUAAAGUGGUACGCGAGCUGGGUUUAGAACGUCGUGAGACAGUUCGGUCCCUAUCUGCCGUGGGCGUUGGAAGAUUGAGAGGGGUUGCUCCUAGUACGAGAGGACCGGAGUGAACGCACCACUGGUGUUCGGGUUGUCAUGCCAAUGGCAUUGCCCGGUAGCUAAGUGCGGAAGAGAUAACCGCUGAAAGCAUCUAAGCGGGAAACUUGCCUCGAGAUGAGUCUUCCCUGU
rnacentral:rRNA from 1 species